CAACGAGCGUGGAGGUAGGGCUCAGAGACCAGGUAGGCACCCGCCCUUUAUGUUGAGGUGUGUGUGUGUUUUGUGUGAUGCCCCAUAGUAAUUUGUGACGGUUUUGCACACAGUUUCUAUUAAUUAACUGGGUAAUUCUUCGAUUUUCAUCCAGUUUUCUUUUAUUACCAGACAACUCUUUUGUUCUUAAUGCAUGCAUAAAUCAUGCCAUUUUGUAUAAAAUCCAACGGAGUACCAUGAGUUUUGGGGGUGAAACUAAAAUCAUGAAAAUAAUUGUUUGCAUCGUUUGUGAUUAAAUUUGGAAGAUUGUCUUCGAUCCCCGUUGUCAUGUGUACAAAGAUGACGACGAGGAGUGCGUUGCAGGCGACCGGUGACAGAGCAGAGGUGACCCUAUAACCAUGACAACCAGAGGCGUAUUGUGAUUGGCAAACAGCGAUCGAUGGCCUGGCCGGUUGGGCGGGCCAUAAGCCCCUGGAACAAUCAAAACCACCUUCCAUGUCCGGGAUGAUGGCUCAAAGUGUGACUCACAAGGGGAAAUCAAAGGUUUGGUUCAUAGUUUUUACGAACAACUCUUUACAGCUAACCCGUGUGCAUCCAUGGAUGCAGUUCUUGAUGCUAUUCCAUCGAAGGUUACUGAAGCAAUGAAUGUGGAUCUCUGUAAAUCAUAUUCUGAUGAAGAGAUCGGGACGGCCCUCUUCCAAAUGGGCCCGACGAAGGCACCGGGACCGGACGGCUUCCCGGCGUUGUUCUAUCAAACGCAUUGGGACUUCUUUAAAACAGAGAUUUGUAGUGCUGUGAGGAGCUUCUUAUGUGGAGGAGAGGUCCCGGAGGGGCUUUGUGAUUCGAUCAUUGUCCUGAUUCCGAAAGUUGCCAAGCCAAAGCAGUUGAAAAACUUCCGCCCAAUAAGCUUGUGCAAUGUCCUCUACAAAAUAGCCUCCAAAGUCUUGGCAAACAGGCUGAAAGUGAUUUUACCGGAGAUCAUCUCAGAACAGCAGAGUGCGUUCGUCCCUGGUAGACUAAUUACUGAUAACGCCCUUAUUGCCUUCGAGUGCUUACAUUCCAUCCGCAACCAGAGAAGUAAGAAACCUUUCUUUGCUCUCAAGAUUGAUAUGAUGAAAGCCUACGACAGGGUGGAGUGGGCCUACCUGCAUGGUUGCUUGUGUAAGCUCGGUUUUGACACAAAUUGGAUCCAAUCGGUGAUGCGGUGUGUGACCUGCGUCCGUUAUGCUGUCAAGGUUAAUGGAGAAUUGACAGAGCCGGUGGUUCCAUCUAGAGGUAUUCGUCAGGGAGAUCCUAUUAGCCCUUAUUUGUUUCUUUUAUGCACGGAGGGUUUGUCAUGUUUACUACAACGAAAGGAGGACCGAGGUGAGCUCUAUGGUAUUCGCAAUGGUAGACUUGGUCCCCCUAUAUCCCAUUUACCGUUUGCAGAUGACAGCAUCUUCUUUGCAAAGAGUGAUGAUAAGAGUGUGGAUGCUCUCAAGUACACUCUACAGAGUUAUUGUGAUGGCUCUGGACAGCUGAUUAAUCUGGAAAAAUCAUCGGUUUUCUUUGGCCACCAUGUGUCUGAUCAAGUGAAAAAUGCAGUGAAGGUUAAGUUGGAAGUCCAAAAUGAGGAUCUUAAUGAUUUCUAUCUCGGUAUGCCAACAUCUGUGGGGCGUGGCCCUAUAGCAACCUUCAGUUUCUUAUAUGACAAGGUGUGGAAAUAUCUAAAUGGAAUUUCGGGAAGACCCCUCUCCAGGGCUGGUAUUGAGACCCUGCUGAAGGCGGUUGUUCAGGCCAUUCCUACCUUUGUCAUGAGCUGUUUCCAAUUACCUCUAGCAAUCUGCAACAAAAUCAAAUCGGCUAUAGCUAAUAGCUGGUGGGGAAUUGAGGAUGGUAAAAGGAAAAUUCAUUGGAGAUCAUGGAAGUGGCUCUCAUCUCCUAAGGGACUGGGAGGAAUGGGAUUUCGCGAUCUCGGCCUUUUCAACCAGGCCUUGCUGGCCAAACAGGGGUGGCGCCUGCUCACGGUCCCUGACUCCCUUUGCGCCCGAGUCCUCAAAGGCAGGUACUUCUCCGAUACGAGCUUCUGGCACGCUCCCAAGCCGCGUUCGUCAUCCUUCACAUGGAGAAGUAUACUACAUGGGAGGGACCUGCUGUAUCAAGGCAUCAUAUGGGGCAUCGCGGAUGGGGCUUCGGUGAAGAUUAUGAUGGAUAAUUGGGUUCCAGGGUUCUCUCCGGAGAUGCUUCGUUCUCUAUCUCCUAUCCCCAGCCAUGCUACGGUAAAGUGCCUAAUGGUGGAGGAAGGUGAUGCAUGGAAUCAUGAAAAUGUGCAUGCUUUCUUCGCACCAAGGAUAGCAGACCAGAUAUUGCAGCUACCAAUCUCAGCACAAAUGGACGGUGAUUUCCCCUGCUGGCCAUUUACUCGGCAUGGCACGUAUUCAGUUCGGUCUGGCUACAAUUUGGCUCGGUCUGCGAGCUUCCUUUCCUGGCGGAGCAGGACCGGCUGCGGCAUUAGCUCCAAUGGAAUGGACAACAACGAUCAAUGGAAGCGUCUUUGGAAGAUCAAUGCGCCGGGUAAGAUGAUAAUCCACUUAUGGAGGUUUAUACACAACUGUCUUCCAAGCGGCAUCCAGUUAAUCACACGGCGGGUACCGGAUACCGGUCCGUGCGUAUUCUGUGGCAGAAUUGAGAGCAUCGAGCAUGCUCUCCUUACCUGUCAGUUUGCUCGAGUGGUGUGGAGGGAGGUGAAACGGAGUGUUCAUCUCAAGCUGGACCGAAAGGGUUUUGGCACCCAUGCACAAUGGCUCUUCGAUUUCCUUGAGAGGUCCAGUGAGCUUCAAAAAACGGUACUGGCUGUUACUUUCUGGCACGUUUGGGAUGCAAGGAAUGAAGCUCGAAACUCCACAGCGAAGCCCAGUCCUGUUGGGACAAGUGCGAGAAUUCUCGCUUAUGUUGACCUCAUCCGUUCACAAGCCCCUACCCAUUCCCUGGCUUCUAAGUGUGAGCCAAAAACCCCAGCUGCUUGGUCUCCACUGCCGCCGGGAACGGUGUUUGUCAACUCUGAUGCGGCAAUCUUUGAGGUCAAUGGGAAGAUGGGUGCGGGGGUGAUCAUCCGUGAUCACUUAGGCUCUUUUGUCUCAGCUUGUAGGAAUGUGAUCCAGGGACUUAGAUCUCCCGAGGAAGCUGAAGCCUUGGCCGUUCGUCGAGCCGUGGAGUUUGUAGCAGAGAGGGGCUUUGGGAAGGCGAUCUUCGCGUCUGACUGUCUCUCAUUGAUCCAAAGGCUAAACUCCACGGCACUGGACAGAUCUCCGGUGGGUAUUCUGGUUAGUGGUAUCAAAAACUUAACCAGUGUGCUCACUUCGUCCUCCUUCGUCCAUGUGGGACGAGCUCUGAACGGUUCUGCACAUGCAUUAGCUAAAUCUUGUGUUAGUGUUACUUCUAGUGAGGUUUUCCUUUCUAUUCCGGAGUGCAUCCGGCAAACUAUUUGUAUUAAUGUGAGUUAAUCAAUAAAGGGAUGUUACUUGUCAAAAAAAAAAAAAAAACCACCUUCCAUGUUGCCAAAUUUUUGGGCACUUCUGUGCUCGAUUCGGGAAUUGAUUUACAAUUUUGAGCAGGUCGAUAAUUUUUCUAGGAGCUCUCUCAUUCAGUUAAUAUAUUUCCUGGAUUUGAUU
rnacentral:lncRNA from 1 species